GUGCCCUUGCUUUUUCUUUCUUUCUUAAGUUCAGCCAGGACCUUUUGCUUUCUCCAUGUGGUUUCUCCAUCAACAAGGCUGCGAAACAUCCAUGUAUCCAGCAGCCCUUUCUCUGGGAGGCUUUGAUUGAAUGCUGGAAGCGGGCCUGGACUCGGUGAUGACACGGUGAAGACCGCUGCCCGCGUGCGCCAUGGCGCCUCUCGCGUUCUGGUGGAACGCAGUGCCCGUUUUUAUAAACGCCAGCCACCGCAAAAUGCCAAACACACCAUUAAUGUGGUACAGCGUUCUACAGUGUAGCCCAGUACAAGCUGUGAUAGAUCACUGCUUUCUUUUCAGUCGGUGCCACUCUCAGAUGUAGUCUGUGGAAGUUAAUACCCUGU